ACCCUCAGACUCAGGAAGGUUAAAACCACCCUCAGACUCAGGAAGGUUAAAACCACCCUCAGACUCAGGAAGGUUAAAACCACCCUCAGACUCAGGAAGGUUAAAACCACCCUCAGACUCAGGAAGGUUAAAACCACCCUCAGACUCAGGAAGGUUAAAACCACCCUCAGACUCAGGAAGGUUAAAACCACCCUCAGACUCAGGAAGGUUAAAACCACCCUCAGACUCAGGAAGGUUAAAACCACCCUCAGACUCAGGAAGGUUAAAACCACCCUCAGACUCAGGAAGGUUAAAACCACCCUCAGACUCAGGAAGGUUAAAACCACCCUCAGACUCAGGAAGGUCAAAACCACCCUCAGACUCAGGAAGGUUAAGAC